GAUCCUGGCUCAGAUUGAACGCUGGCGGCAUGCUUUACACAUGCAAGUCGAACGGUAGAGGGGGCAACCCCUUGAGAGUGGCGAACGGGUGAGUUAAUAUAUCGGAACGUGCCCAGUCGUGGGGGAUAACGUAGCGAAAGUUACGCUAAUACCGCAUACGAUCUAAGGAUGAAAGCGGGGGACUCGCAAGAGCCUCGCGCGAUUGGAGCGGCCGAUAUCAGAUUAGGUAGUUGGUGGGGUAAAGGCUCACCAAGCCAACGAUCUGUAGCUGGUCUGAGAGGACGACCAGCCACACUGGGACUGAGACACGGCCCAGACUCCUACGGGAGGCAGCAGUGGGGAAUUUUGGACAAUGGGCGCAAGCCUGAUCCAGCAAUGCCGCGUGCAGGAUGAAGGCCUUCGGGUUGUAAACUGCUUUUGUACGGAACGAAACGGUGAGCUCUAAUACAGUUUGCUAAUGACGGUACCGUAAGAAUAAGCACCGGCUAACUACGUG
rnacentral:rRNA from 1 species